rnacentral:rRNA from 1 species
AGUACGGUCGCAAGAUUAAAACUCAAAGGAAUUGACGGGGACCCGCACAAGCGGUGGAUGAUGUGGAUUAAUUCGAUGCAACGCGAAAAACCUUACCUACCCUUGACAUGUACGGAAGGCCGAAGAGAUUUGGCUGUGCUCGAAAGAGAACCGUAACACAGGUGCUGCAUGGCUGUCGUCAGCUCGUGUCGUGAGAUGUUGGGUUAAGUCCCGCAACGAGCGCAACCCUUGUCAUUAGUUGCUACGAAAGGGCACUCUAAUGAGACUGCCGGUGACAAACCGGAGGAAGGUGGGGAUGACGUCAAGUCCUCAUGGCCCUUAUGGGUAGGGCUUCACACGUCAUACAAUGGUACAUACAGAGGGCCGCCAACCCGCGAGGGGGAGCUAAUCCCAGAAAGUGUAUCGUAGUCCGGAUUGUAGUCUGCAACUCGACUACAUGAAGUUGGAAUCGCUAGUAAUCGCGGAUCAGCAUGUCGCGGUGAAUACGUUCCCGGGUCUUGUACACACCGCCCGUCACACCAUGGGAGCGGGUUCUGCCAGAAGUAGUUAGCCUAAACCGC